ACGCUCGACACCUACGGGAGGCAGCAGUGAGGAAUAUUGGUCAAUGGACGCAAGUCUGAACCAGCCAUGCCGCGUGCAGGAUGACGGCUCUAUGAGUUGUAAACUGCUUUUGUACGAGGGUAAACGCAGAUACGUGUAUCUGUCUGAAAGUAUCGUACGAAUAAGGAUCGGCUAACUCCGUGACAGCAGCCGCGGUAAUCUGAGCGGGCUGGCAAGGC
rnacentral:rRNA from 1 species